rnacentral:piRNA from 1 species
CGGAUGAGGACGACAAUGGAAGG